rnacentral:misc_RNA from 1 species
ACACCUCAACUCUCGUGGUUUGCGCCACGAUGAGCUUGGACUUUGGGGGUCUUGCUGGCCUGUGGUCGGCUCCUCUCAAAUGAAUCAGCUUCCCAGUGUUUGGUGGCGUCGCAGGUGUGAUAACUAUCUACGCUUGUGGUUUUCCACCAGAUAACCUUCAGUGAUGGAGGUUCGCUGGGGCUCAUAAACGUCUUUCCUCAGUGAAGACAGCUUUUUGAAC